UCUUAUCCCUGUGCAAAAAUCUGCUUCUUAUAGCAGUCGUGGAACCAACGGACUCAUUGCUCUGCCUGCUCCGAAAAGUAUUUUUAUUAUUUUCUUAAACGGAGAAUUAGAAGAAAGGGAUGGAGGUGAGAUGGAGGGGCCCACGGGGUCAAAACCCAUUCCCCUUCUUAUAGGGAAGCCCUCCUUGGAGAUCUGAAACUGACAGGUUUCUCUCUUGGUGGUUAAAUACCGCACUAGCUUCAUUCAGAGGCUCUUCUCUUAAAGAGCUGAACUGUGCUCUGAGGCAGGAGGAGAAAGAAAUAUAUGGGAGCUGACAUUAAGGGGGAUUAUAAAAUCAUAUUAUAACUUUACCUGCUUCUGCAAACAGAAAACACUACUAAAGCGAACCUCAGGUCAUUUCACACUUCACAAAAAGAAAAAAAAGAAAAGGCAUCUGAUACGUUAAAGAGAAGAACAAUAUUCAUAAUCAUAUCAAUAGUUCAUAAGUGCGUGGACCAUCUUAAAGAUUGUUGAGUACCGUACAAAAUCUACUAAUUCAAGAUAAACAAGACAAAUCAUCUACUAUAUAAGACAAACUUUGAGGCAGAAUAUAUAUCAAGCCUUAGAUAAAUAUUUCCUUCUAGACCAUAAAUUCCUCGGGGGAAGAAACCCUCAUUCUAUACUGUAUCUUCAGUAUCUUGGUUCCUCCUUCUUACUGAGCUUUGAAUGCUUUUGUUGACAUUUACCUUAAUUGGUAUUUUAAUUCUGCUUUUAUACACAAGAGUCAGUGUAUGUGAUUUUGUCCAUUAUUCUAAAGCACUAGAACUUUAGAUAUGAGUCACUAUAUUCUUGAGACCCAAGCUGAGAUUGGACUCCCUGGAAGCUACUGGCAAUACUAUAGACCUCUGACUGACCUGGAAGGAAGAUUAAACACCAGCACAACUUAUGAAACUACAAUCAAGACAAAGUUUGACAUAUUCCAUGGACUGCUCAAUGGCUCUAGAAGUUCUUUCAGAGGGAUUUAAUGGUAUUCCUUUCUCCGUACUAUCCAAAAUAUUUGUCUUUAAAAAGACAAUUAAAUAUAAACAACAUUUGUUAAAUGAUAUAAAAAAUGAAUUAAAGAAUAUGUGUAGAGAAAUCAAUAUUUGAAUAACAAGUGUUAGAAUCAUUAAAUUAUUACUCCUCCAUGUAUAAAUAAAACAUAAUGACUGUAGAAUACAGAAAAAAUUUAACUACAUUGGCGCAAGAAGCAAGGGAUUUGUAGGCCAGUAGGACAGCCAUAAUCUGUGUUAGUUUUAUUGAUAAGGAAUUAAAGUAAUUUCAGAAGAAAAA